rnacentral:rRNA from 1 species
UACAGAGGUCUCAAGCGUUGUUCGGAUUCAUUGGGCGUAAAGGGUGCGUAGGCGGCGCGGUAAGUCGGGUGUGAAAUCUCGGAGCUUAACUCCGAAACUGCAUUCGAUACUGCCGUGCUUGAGGACUGGAGAGGAGACUGGAAUUUACGGUGUAGCGGUGAAAUGCGUAGAUAUCGUAAGGAAGACCAGUGGCGAAGGCGGGUCUCUGGGACGGUACUGACGCUGAGACACGAAGGCCAGGGGAGCAAACGGG